rnacentral:rRNA from 1 species
GAUGAACGCUGGCGGCGUGCCUAAUACAUGCAAGUCGAGCGAACGGACGCGAAGCUUGCUUCUCUGUUGUUAGCGGCGGACGGGUGAGUAACACGUGGGUAACCUCCCUCUAAGCCUGGGAUAACUUCGGGAAACCGGAGCUAAUACCGGAUAAUAUUUUUAACCGUAUGGUUCAAGAGUGAAAGACGGUCUUGCUGUCACCUAUCGAUGUAUCGGCAGUGCAUUAGCUGGUUGGUAUGGUAACGCCUUGCCAAGGAAACGUGGCAUAACCGACCGCGGAGGGGGAGCGGCCACACGGGAACGGAGGCACGGUCUAGAAUCCAACGGGGGCCAGCAGUAGGGAAUCGUGCGGCAAGGGGGAAAGCCUGACGGAGCAAGGCCGCCUGAUGGAGGAAGGUCUUCGGAGGGUAAACCUCUGUUAUUAGGGAAGAACAUUUGGGUAGGGAACAGGGCACAUCGUGACGGUACCUAAUCAGAAAGCACCGGCUAACUACGUG